UACGUAGGUGGCAAGCGUUGUCCGGAAUUAUUGGGCGUAAAGCGCGCGCAGGCGGUCCUUUAAGUCUGAUGUGAAAGCCCACGGCUCAACCGUGGAGGGUCAUUGGAAACUGGGGGACUUGAGUGCAGGAAAGAAGAGUGGAAUUCCACGUGUAGCGGUGAAAUGCGUAGAGAUGUGGAGGAACACCAGUGGCGAAGGCGACUCUUUGGCCUGUAACUGACGCUGAGGCGCGAAAGCGUGGGGAGCAAACCGG
rnacentral:rRNA from 1 species